ensembl:lncRNA
AGUUGAUAAGUUUUUAAUUACAUUUUCAAUUUCAUUGGUUGAUAUUGGGUUGUUCAGAAUUUUUAGGUCUUCUUCGUUCAACUUUGGUAAUUCAUAUGUAUCUAGGAAUCUGUCCAUUUCUUCUGUGUUGUCCAUCUUAUCGGCGUAUAGGUUCUGGAAGUAGGUAUUGAUGAUCCUCUGGAUUUCUACUGGGUCUGUUUUAAUUUCACUCUUUUCAUUCCUAAUUGCAUGGAUUUGGGCCUUUUCUUUCCUUUUUCUGACAAGGUUGGCUAAAGGUUUGUUAAUUAUUUUGAAGAACCAACUCUUGGCUUCAUUGAUUUUUUUGUAUUGUUCUCUUAGUCUCCAUUGCAUUGAUUUCUCCUCUGAUCUUUAUAAUUUCCUCC